rnacentral:rRNA from 1 species
AUUAGCUAGUUGGUGGGGUAAGAGCCUACCAAGGCGACGAUCAGUAGCGGGUCUGAGAGGAUGAUCCGCCACACUGGGACUGAGACACGGCCCAGACUCCUACGGGAGGCAGCAGUGGGGAAUUUUGGACAAUGGGCGAAAGCCUGAUCCAGCCAUGCCGCGUGUAUGAAGAAGGCCUUCGGGUUGUAAAGUACUUUUGUUAGGGAAGAAAAGCUUAUUGCUAAUAUCAGUGAGCCAUGACGGUACCUAAAGAAUAAGCACCGGCUAACUACGUGCCAGCAGCCGCGGUAAUACGUAGGGUGCAAGCGUUAAUCGGAAUUACUGGGCGUAAAGCGAGCGCAGGCGGUUAUUUAAGUCAGGUGUGAAAGCCCCGAGCUCAACUUGGGACGUGCAUUUGAAACUGGAUAACUAGAGUGUGUCAGAGGGGGGUAGAAUUCCACGUGUAGCAGUGAAAUGCGUAGAGAUGUGGAGGAAUACCGAUGGCGAAGGCAGCCCCCUGGGAUAACACUGACGCUCAUGCUCGAAAGCGUGGGUAGCAAACAGGAUUAGAUACCCUGGUAGUCCACGCCCU